AAAGGUGUCCGAUUUCAGUACUUCUGAUGUUGGCUGAGACGACAUGAUAUGACACCCUCCCAGGCGAGAAUAGCUAUCACAUCUACUUCUUGCUUCUUCCCUGCUAGACACAUGUUCUCGCUGGUUUUUGCUGGUAUCAAAUU
ensembl:ncRNA C36F7.15 ncRNA